CCAUAUCUAGGAAAUAAAAUGAAAAAUGCUAAACCCACCAUCGGAGGAGAGAAAUAGCAUAUUUUGGCAAUGUAAGGAAAACAGCCGAGCAUGUGUUGAAAACAGCUCUCGUGAGAGGUACAUUCCCAUUUGUUAGUAACAGUGUAACAGAAGGAAGCAGAGAUUAGGCAAAGCCACGCGCGCUAGCUACACCCCACACCCA